UAGCACCUUCUCACCAAAAUAACAAUAGGCUACGUUUUUCCACCUCAGGACAGUUGGCUUGAGGCUGCAGAUGGAGAAGCCGGGAGAGGGGAGCCACCGAGGACACUGAUUAAUGGGUUUCCCAGGUCUGCUAUCAGCUGUUCCAGACACGAAGUGUCGGCACUGAUCUCAGAACAUGCUACGCCAAAGGCCCUAUCGCAGGCACUCCGGGCAGAUCGGCCCACGCAUUCCCAACCCAUGAGGCAGCCUGGAGGGGAGCCAGAGAACGCCAAGGUGGACAGAGGAAGGGCCAGAAAAGGUCUGAGAGCCCGCGGUUCUCACUGCUGCUCUGGGAAAGGAGGCUGGCAAUCCCGUGGGGCAUGAGGACACCAGCUCUGACUUGAACAACAAUGGACCGCCUGGUCUGGCCUUAAUUAAAAGAAAGACGCACGAUCAUACCACAUUUAGAAGAGGCCUUGAAGAGGCCAUCUGCUAGAACCUUGCGUGUCACAGAAGAGGAGACAGAAGAGAACAGGGAGGAAGGGAAAGAAGAAUUGUACUUUUGAGGACUUCCUUUGUGCUAGCAAGGGUGCUUGAUGUGCGUGCCGAAGCGAGUAAGCCUUAAGUGUAAACCAGAGACUAAGGAACCUGCAACAGUUAUGAGGACAAUUGGAAACAUCUGUGAUUUAUUUUGGUGCUAAAGGCACAGGCACCCUUAAUACAGAUGUGCUGCCUACAUUCAUGACUGGGGACAAUGCUACAGUUCAGUUUAGAGGUGGGUGAAAAUAAAAACUGGAGGAAGGGCCAGUCUACAGUCUCUCCAUGGACGCUAAGCUCCUGAAUGUCCCGUUCUGUCUGUCCCAGAAAAUGACACCCCAGUUCAGAGACUCCUGAAAAUAAAACAAACAAAACAAAACCUCAUAACAGAACAGGUGGCAAAUAAGCAUAUGAAAAGAUGCUCCCCACCACUUGUCAUUAGGAAAUGCAAAUUAAAAACAAUAAUGAGAUACCACAACAUAGCUAUCAGAGUGGCCAAAACCGAUCACCGCCAACACCGAGCACUGGCGAGGAUGUGGAGGAACAGGAAGUCUCAUCCGUUGCUGGUGGGGAUGCAAACUGGUACAGCCACUUUGGAGGACAGUUUGUCAGAUUCUUACAAAACUAAACCUACUCUUACCAUAUGACCCAGCAAUCGGCCCCUUGGUAUUUGCCCAAUGAAGUUGAAAACUUACGUCCAUACAAAGACCUGCCCAGCAAUGUUUAUAGUGACCUCAUUCAUAAUUGCCAAAACUUGGAAGCAACCAAAAUGUCCAUUUGCUAGGUGAAUGGAUAAAAUUGUGCUACCUUCAGACAAUGGAUUAUUGUUCAGCCCUAAAAAGAAACAAGCUGCCAAGCCAUGAAAAGACAUGGAGGAAAUGUAAAUGCAUAUUGCUGAGUGAAAGAAACCAAUCUGAAAAUGCUACCUACUAUGUGAUCGCAACUACGUGAUGUUUUGGAAAAGAAGGUCAAACAACUGUGGAGACUGUAAGAAGAUCGUGGUCGCCAGUGGCCGGGAAGGUUCAGGAAGAGGGACAAACAGGCAGAGCACAGAGGAUUUUUAGGACAUGAAAACACUCUGAUACCAUAAUGACAGACACAGGACACUAUACAUUUGUUCAAACCCCUAGAUUGAACACCACCAAGAGUGAACCCUAAGGUAAAUGUGGACUUUGGGUGACUAUGUGUGUCAGUGUGGGUUCAUCAAUUGUAAUAAAUAUACCACUCUGGGGCAGGAUGUUGAUAACGGGAGAGGCUGUGCGUGCGUAGGGGUAGGGAGUAUAUGGGAAAUCUCUGUACCUUCCCCUCAAUUUUGCCGUGAACCUAAAGCUGCUCUGAAAAAAAAAAUAAAGAAAAAAUAACCCCCCAACCCAAAAAACCACAGACCAGAGCAGCACUGCCAUGAAUCCCCAGCACAGGGGGCACUUGUAAACCUUUUCCCCAAACCUGUGGGGCAAAAUAAGAAGUUACCAUUUACUAAAUGCUUACAACAUUGUGGGCUCUCAUCUAGGUGGAUGCAUUUUCUACUUACAACAGCUCCUUGAAAGGGGGUAAUAUUACCUUCAUUUUGCAGAUCAGAAACUUUGGGUUUCAAAGUUGAAUCCUAAAACAAGUUAGAUAGAUCUACCUAACCGACUGUUUGAAAUAAUGAAUUAUUGCAUCAGAGAGAUUGCAAUACGAGCUGUUAAAAACUCUUACUUGAAACUCCUCCUUUUUACAUUUGUGUAAAUAAAAUGAAAUAAAUUAUUUGCUGAAGCUGA